GAAUCCCGUAUAUGGCACGGACUCCCGUUGCUCUGUGAUACACUCUCGACGGGUCGAGUUGUUUGGGAAUGCAGCUCUAAAUGGGUGGUAAAUGCCAUCUAAAGCUAAAUAUUGGCGAGAGACCGAUAGCGAACAAGUACCGUGAGGGAAAGAUGAAAAGCACUUUGGAAAGAGAGUGAAACAGUACGUGAAAUUGUUGAAAGGGAAACGCUUGAAGUCAGUCGCGCCGUUCGGGAUUCAGCCUUGCUUCUGCUCGGUUUACUUCCCGCUGGGUGGGUCAACAUCAGUUUCGGUCGGAGGAGAAAGACUUGGGGAAGGUGGCAGCAUUCGUGCUGUGUUAUAGCCCCGUGUUGUAUACUUCGACUGGGACUGAGGACCGCAGCACGCCUCUGGCCGGGGUUCGCCCACGUACGUGCUUAGGAUGUUGGCAUAAUGGCUUUAAGCGACCCGUCUUGAAACACGGACCAAGGAGUCUAACAUGUGCGCGAGUGUUUGGGUGUUAAACUCGGACGCGAAAUGAAAGUGAAAAGUUGGGAACACGUCUGUGUGCACCGACGCCCGGAGCUGACCUUCUGUGACGCAUCUGCGGUAGAGCGUAUAUGUUGGGACCCGAAAGAUGGUGAACUAUGCCUGGAUAGGGUGAAGCCAGAGGAAACUCUGGUGGAGGCUCGUAGCGAUUCUGACGUGCAAAUCGAUCGUCAAAUUUGGGUAUAGGGGCGAAAGACUAAUCGAACCAUCUAGUAGCUGGUUCCUGCC
rnacentral:rRNA from 1 species